GUUUUAAUAGUUUAACAAAAACAUUGGUCUUGUAAACCAAAAAUAAGAUUAAGUCUUUUAAAACU
rnacentral:tRNA from 1 species